rnacentral:lncRNA from 1 species
ACAGCCGCCUAGCCGCGGCUGCGGAUCCAGGCAUCUCCGCACUCUUGGGGGCCAGGAAGGCCCCCCUUUACCCCCGCAGCCUUGGAGGUGUCUGCUCCUGCUGCCUGGCUUCUCCCAGCUCCUGCUGCUCACUCUGAUCUCGGAGCAAGGUUGGGGCCAAGCCCAGGUGCUGUUGCAGCCCAGCUGGGUGUGCGCACACUCAGGGCAGCGCUGACACACCAGUCCCCUGCCGCCUCAGCCUCCUCUGGGCUUUGGGCACCGAUAAGCCCGUGAGGGAGGCCGCGGCAGGGGCUGAGGGCAGCUUUGCACUGGCCUGCUGGUGCCCCUGGGCCGGAACCGCCUGGGCACCAUAAAGGCGGCAGGAUCAGACAGGCUCCUGGGAAACAGGCAGGUCCCUGGUGAAGCCCCACCUUCCAUCCGGGGAAGGUCUGAAGUCUGGCGGCCGGGCUGCUGGUCCCGUGAUCAGAGUGGGAACUUGUGGUGCUUUUUUCGGGCCGUCCAUGGCUGCUAAUGGACUGACUGGCACACACUUCCUCCCCUCUGAGGCCCAUAAAAAGCCACGGACUCAGCCAGACCUGAAGAGACGAUGGGACGACCUACCUAAAGAGAAGACCUACCCUUCUCUGCUGAGAGCUGAACACUCAUUGGGAAAACCCUGGCUACCUAGAGGAGCUACCUACUGCGGGUCUCCUCUGAGCUGUUCUGUUGUUCAGUAAAGCUCCUCUUUGUCUUGUUCAUCCUCCACUUGUCCGUGUACCUCAUUCUUCCUGGACACCCAGGACAAGAAAUCGGGACCCGUCAAAUGGUGGGGCUAAAAGAGCUGUAACACAAACAGGGCUGAAACACGCCUUUUGCUUGCCACGUUGCGGGCAACAAGAAGGAGAGAAGAGAGAAGAAAAGAAGAGCUGCAGCCCGUCAGGGAUCCCAGACCUAGGAGCUCCCCGAGCCAGGUCUGUGACACCCUCUUUAGGGCUCUGCAGUUUCUGGCGUCUCCAAGCUUCUGGGUAUCACCAUGUUCCCUGAUGUCAGCUGUGGAAGUUGCUUAUGGUACGCCUGGUCUAGCAGCAGCCUUGCGGGGAGCCAGCUCUGGAGCCAGCACCUGGAGCUGCCCACCCUGCUGCAGCUGGAGUGCCUGGCUGCGCACAGUGGCCGGACCCCAAGCUCGCCCACACCUCUUGCUGCUCCACGCCUGACUUGCCCUUGGCAGGUGUGGGAUCCAGGCCAGUAGUGCGAGCCAAGGGUAACCUUCCAGGCAGAGUGGGCGGAAUGAGCCCAGAGGGCCAGAGCAAAACCCAGCAAAGGUACCACUGGCCACAGAGGUUUCUGGAUGGCCAAGUGACACUCCAAGGAUCCCAUAACGCUAUGUGCUUGUUCAACCCUGGAUCCAAAUAUGCUCCAGAAGAUAAGUUGGUA